AAUCCACACAAUGUGCAAAUCAUGUGACCUUAGUGUUAUACAAACAUACUUAGCACUGACAGGCUGUACUGCUUUGUAACAAUCAGCUUUUAUAAAUUAUUUAACAUUGAGAAACAGUUUUAUGUUACUUUUUUCCUCCACAUCAUGGCAUCUUUUCUUUUCAUUAUCUAUCACACGAAUGGAAAUCUUCAAGUACAGUUUGGAAUAUCUGAUCUGACCUCAAACUUAUUCUAAUGAUCAACAUCCUGACGCGGGGCACAAGAUGACUAAGACCUAACUGAAUUUGGAAUCUGGGACACAGCUACACAUUUUAAGAGAGUUGUGGACGCCAAUUGAUUAUCUGUAAGUGACUGUCCAAUUUGAAGUGAAUCAGUUUAGUUCAGCUUCACUACUGCCAG